GAUAGUAAUGAAACUGAAUUCUCUUUAAGAGAUUGAUAAAAAAGCAAUAAGUAAUGUUUAGUCACACUGCAUUUUCUGAGCCAGGAGAAGAUCCUAUUAACUCACUAAAAUUACAGAACUUGGUCUUACUAUUGCUGAAUGGGAUACAAUUUCUCUCAAAUCUUUUCCUCAAAAUUAAAUUCUGAAAAUAACCUUGUGAUAAGGAGGUUUAUCCACCAAUGGACUUAUCUGUUAUUUCUUCCUUAUUGUGAGCUGAAUAUCAUGACAGAGCAGAGGCAAAGAGACAUACUUUCAAUUCUUAAGGUAUUAAGUAAAAAAGAUCAGAACUUCCACAGCACGGCAAAAGCUUUGCAUAUGCCAACACCAUGAUAGCUGAAAUAACAAAGCCCAGCAAAGGUUAAAGCUGAGAGCAUCCCCAUGAACAUAGUAACAACUCUCCCAAGGCCACGGUGACUGUAAGGAGUCAGGGCUGCAGCCAGGGAGCCGUCCAAUUCAGAGCAAAGAUUCCAAUAUGUAACUUGAAGCAGCCCCAGGAGCAAAACACAACCAAUUCUUCUGCUAGUCCAGUGGAGAGAAUCAGCCUUCGAAUCAGGAUGAUGGCUUGGCGAUAGAUGAAUAUUCUGUGCCCCAAACAACCUCUGGCAGGUCAGUCUUGUAGAAAUGCUGAGACAUGAACUGGUCUGAACACUGGAGUUUGAAGGAACAGAGCUCAGCCUGCUAGGACUCUGCAGAAGACACUCAGGCUCAGGGCAAGCACCAUCUUGCUUUUCAAGGCCAUCUGCCAACCUGGAAGCAGUUAUCCUCAUUCUUCAUUGUUCAUAUCAGAUCUGAAGAUGCAACUGGGGGUACUUGUUAAACACAGAUUUCUUGGGCCCAUCCUAGACCCUCUGGGAACUUCCAGGGAAAGGGCAUGCCCAUGGAUUUUAACAGGUAUCCAAGGAUAAAUGACAUAGUCACCAUAGUGAUAAAAGCCCAAACGGCUGAGAUGCCGAGAAUUCUGACUUCAAACCUGGGGACAGCCCAGGCCCGCACCUGCUCCUUCUCACCAGAGGCAAGACAUGGCAGGGAUGGAAACGAGAAAUAAGUCUCAUGGAAACAUUGUGCCUAGUUAAGAUGUGGGCAUCCUGCCAGGCUUCGAGGGACACAAUGGCACAAACAGUGGGGUUGGUCCAGGAAGAUGUUCCUCACUUUUCAGAUGUCCGAAGCCCAUCUGCCUGGACUUUGACCCUGGUGAAAGGGGUAAAAUUUCCAUAUUCCCUUUGAUGCUUUUCUUGUUGCCUUUACAACACCCAAACCUGGGCAUUCCCAGAGGAAUCCAGCCUAGUCUCAGAGACUCAUCUGCAUGGAGCCAAGAAAGGACUCGAGGUUGUGAACGCUCAAUUAGUAUUUCGGCAGAACUAUUUUCAUUUAAACAAGGAAACCAGGACUUCAAACCUCAUUCCUCUUCCCUCUCAAACUCUUCCAGACCCUGGAGAAGAAUCUAGGUAUGCUCUUAAAUUGUUGGCAUGUCCUGCUUCUGCUUUCUGCUCAUGUUCUAGCAAGAGCUACGUAUUUCAGAUUUUUCAGAGAUGUGAAUACAUUUUAAAACUUAAAUGUAACCUUUGCCUUGACCAUUAUCAUAAGAAGUUCUUUGUUUUGUGUUUUAUUUUGGUUUUUGUUUUUUGAGACAGGAUCUCACUAUGUAGCC